UACAGAGGUCCCAAGCGUUGUUCGGAUUCACUGGGCGUAAAGGGUGCGUAGGUGGCGAGGUAAGUCGGAUGUGAAAGCUCGGAGCUCAACUCCGAAAUGGCAUUGGAAACUACCUUGCUCGAGGGUUGGAGGGGGGACUGGAAUUCUCGGUGUAGCAGUGAAAUGCGUAGAUAUCGAGAGGAACACCAGUGGCGAAGGCGACUUCCUGGACAGACACUGACACUGAGGCACGAAAGCGUGGGGAGCAAACAGG
rnacentral:rRNA from 1 species